ensembl:lncRNA
GCAGAUUUAGUCUGUGGCAUGUCUCUUGAUGAAAGGACCAUUUCUCUCCUUUUUUAGGGAUUGUUUUUUCGUCCCUCCCUUCACUCCCACCGCCCCUCUUGUCUGUUCCUCUCAUUACUCACUGGAGUGUUUGCACUGGCUCAGCUUGCAGAAAUGGCCACCACAACAGGAACCGUCUGGGUCCCCAGCCUGCUUAUAUGGCUAAUUCACACAUAAAAUCUGAAGCCUUCGUAGGCAAACAUUUGCUGUGUCAUAACAUGCUUCUACUGUUUCUUUUUUUGUUUUUCUGUGAACUUGCAUAACCCACACAGACUGUAGCCGAAGUGGAAUUCCCACAGUCAAUAAUGCUGUUUCUGAUUUCAACUUUAAAUCACUUGUUGAUUUUUUUUUCACCUUUUCCAGUGUACUGGGCAGACCUUCACAAACAUCACUUGACUUGUAAUAUAUCAGAAAACCGUGCAGCACCCUGACCUACAUUGCCUCUCUCUGAGGGUGGUGAUGGUGACAUUGUUUUUUAAUUAUUGCUUGUUCAUGUCAAGAAGAAAAUCUUGCUUCCCCAUUUUGAUGUAGUUCCUGUUAAACCUGAAUUCUGGCUGUUACAAAACAGAGGGAGGUGUGACUUAAGUACAUAUUCACUAUUAUGACUAAGAGGCAGGUUAACGUAAUUGGAAUGGCAGGUAGGAAUGACUGAUCAAAAGUCCAUAAUAGUUUUGUUGGGAGAUUUUUUUUCUUUCUUUCUUUUUAUUACAGCACUGGUGCAGCAUGAGGUCAUUGGUGAAUAUAAACAGUUUUCCAGGAAGUAAGAGUAGUGGAAAGAAGUCGUCUUUUCCUGUCACAAUCUGAAGAAGUUCUUUUUCUUUUAUAAGAGAUUUGAGUGUCUGUUUUGACUGAUGACCAGCGUGAUAAAACUUUCUUUGAUAUUAAAAUCCUAUCACACAGUUGAAUUUAAAUCACUCUAAGCUACAUAACAUAUCCUAUAAGUUUAUAAUAGAGUGAUUUAAAACCAACCAUAUUAUAAUGUGGUGUCCUGCCCACCCCCUCGCCCCUUAAAAAAAUCAUAAUAUCCCUCAUCUCUUUUUUAACUGACAUGUUUUUCAUAAGGAUUGAGUGCUGAAUAGCUGUUUGGUCUUCUCAGUAAUCUGUCAUUCAACAGUAGGUAUACCAGCAUGACACUGCUAUACCUAUUGUCGUGGC